GUAGGGAACCGAGUCUGAUAAGGGCGCCUAGUUGCUGGACGUAGACCCGAAACCAAGUGAUCUAUCCAUGGCCAGGAUGAAGGUGCGGUAACACGCACUGUGGUCCGAACCCACUAAUGUUGAAAAAUUAGGGGAUGAGCUGUGGAUAGGGGUGAAAGGCUAAACAAACUUGGAAAUAGCUGGUUCUCUCCGAAAACUAUUUAGGUAGUGCCUCAAGUAUCACCAACGGGGGUAAAGCACUGUUAUGGCUAGGGGGUCAUCGCGACUUACCAAACCAUUGCAAACUCAGAAUACCGUUGAGUGCGAGCUUGGGAGACAGACAUCGGGUGCUAACGUCCGGUGUCGAAAGGGAAACAACCCAGACCGCCGAUUAAGGUCCCCAAGCCAUAGUUAAGUGGGAAACGAGGUAGGAAGGCUUAGACAGCCAGGAGGUUGGCUUAGAAGCAGCCAUCCUUUAAAGAAAGCGUAAUAGCUCACUGGUCGAGUCGUCCUGCGCGGAAGAUGUAACGGGGCUCAAACUAUGCACCGAAAUCGCGGAUAUCCGUAAGGAUAUGGUAGGAGAGCGUUCUGUAAGCCGAUGAAGGUGUCUUGAGAAGGAUGCUGGAGGUAUCAGAAGUGCGAAUGCUGACAUGAGUAGCGAUAAAGGGAGUGAAAAGCUCCCUCGCCGAAAGCCCAAGGUUUCCUGCGCAACGUUCAUCGGCGCAGGGUGAGUCGGCCCCUAAGGCGAGGCUGAAAAGCGUAGUCGAUGGGAAACAGGUCAAUAUUCCUGUACCUCUUUGUAAUGCGAUGGGGGGACGGAGAAGGUUAGGUCAGCCGGGUGUUGGACGUCCCGGUUCAAGCGUGUAGGCAGACCUCUUAGGCAAAUCCGGGGGGUCAAUGCUGAGGCGUGAUAACGAGUGGUCUUGUACCGCGAAG
rnacentral:rRNA from 1 species